AAACAUGUCUUAAUGAGUUAUUUAUAUUAAGUCAAGCCUGCCCAAUGAUGAUUAUUUAAUGGCUGCAGUAAUUUAACUGUACAAAGGUAGCAUAAUAAUUAGUUUUUUAAUUGAGGACUUGUAUGAAAGGUUUCACGAAAUAUUAACUUUAUUAUUUUAAUAAUUAAAAUUUUAUUUUUUAGUAAAAAAGCUAAAAUUUUUAUAUAAGACGAGAAGACCCUAUAGAUUUUUAUAAAAAUGUUGUUGAGUAUUAUUAGUAUUUAGAUUAUUUAUAUUAUAUAUUUAUUUUAUUGGGGUGAUAGUAAAAUUUAAUUAAUUUUUAUAUUAUUAUUACAUUUAUUUAUGGUUAAAUGAUCCAUUUUAUAUGAUAAUUAGAUUAAAUUACCUUAGGGAUAACAGCAUAAUUUAUUUGGAAAGUUCUUAUUAAUAAAGGAGAUUAUGACCUCGAUGUUGGAUUAAAAUUAAUUUUAGGGGCAGAAAUUUAAUAAUUAAGUCUGUUCGACUUAUGAAAUUUUACAUGAUCU
rnacentral:rRNA from 1 species